AGCGAACGCUGGCGGCAGGCUUAACACAUGCAAGUCGAGCGCCCCGCUAGGGGAGUUGCAGAUGGGAGAGUAACACGUGGGAACAUACCUUUUGGUUCGUAACAACUGAGUGAAACUUCAGCUAAUACCGGAUAAGCCCUUACGGGGAAAGGUUGAUCUCCGAAGGCUUGGCCCGCGUCUGAUUAGCUAGUUGGUAAGGUCAGGGCACACCAAGGCGACGAUCAGUAGCUGGUCUGAGAGAAAGAUCCGCCACACUGGGACUUAGACACAGCCCGGACUCCUACGGGAGGCAGCAGUGGGGAAUGGUGGACAAUGGGGGCAAUCCUGAACCAGCCAUGACGCGUGAGUGAUGAAGGCAUUAGGGUUGUAAAGCGCAAUUGACCGGGAAGAUAAUGACGGUACCGGGAGAAUAAGCCCCGGCUAACUUCGUG
rnacentral:rRNA from 1 species